AAUUUACGUUCUUUAGUGAGAGUGUUGGUUUAACACCAACAGAAAAGGAAAACAGAUGAAUAAGCUCUGAGUUUUCAUUUCUCUUUUUUCCUCUUACUCUCAGGGUAGGCUGAAAAACAAAAGAUAAAUAUAAUUACUGUUUAUAAAAUGGCAUGUGCUUUCUCAAAUAUAUUCAAAUGAAUGCCAGAUUGCUUAGACUGUCUUUAUAUUUCCAUCAAUGAAAACAAUUCAAGCCUGUCCUAGACUCAUGGCAGUUGAAUUCUUCUGCCGGGCAAGGGGAAAGGACAGAGCAG
rnacentral:lncRNA from 1 species